rnacentral:lncRNA from 1 species
UUCCAUUUUACUAAUAACAAACAAAAUUUAUGAUAUUACAAUAAAGGCACAUGUCUAUAAAUUCACAGAUUAUUCUUCUACAUAUACAAACAAUAAAUCCAUUAUAUUCUUGAAAUGAUAUGUCAGCAACUAAUGUUUGAAUUUAUCUGAGCUUUUUUUACAAAUGAUUUGAUGAAAAUUUAAAAAAAGUUAUAUAAGUUAGUAAUUAAAAAAACUUUCUUUAUGUCAUUCAUUCCUUGUCCAGUUAAAAUUUUUUGUGGUUUCAUAUAAAAUUGUAUUUCAUUGAUAGGGUUAACUAUUUUUUAAUUUUUUUUUUACAUUGGAAAUUUGUAUAUUGUUGAAGGCUUUUAUUGGUGUGUAAUAUAUUAAAUUACAAAGUCAACAAAAAGUUAGAACUCCACUUAAAAUAAUGACUUAUCAGUAUAAUUUCUGAUAUGAAAAUGUAACCACAUGCUUAUUACACAAUUUAUGGUGCACUUUAGUACAAUUUGACAAACAGCCAUACAGGAAAAUAUCUCUAGAUCAAUUUUUUUUCAAGUGGAAUCUUUUUUAAUAUUUUACUACCAUUUCAAAUUUGUUAAAUUAUUAUUCCCAUCUUUUAAAUCAAUAUUGCAUACAGAACAAAAUCUGCAAUAAAUUAUGUUUGCACAUUUUUACAGGUAAAUUAUAUUUAUCUCAUCUGACCAUCUGAUCCUUAACAAGGAUCUUAUUACUUUUCCUUAUAAGGAGAGAAACAUACAACAUCUUAACAGUUUCUGAUAUAUUCACAUAAAAUAUAAAGAAAAACAAAUAUUGGUCAUAGUAGUUGAAGGGAAAAAAAUAAAUACACCCUUCCUCUCUUUUGGGCAAUUUCACAAGAACAUCAAUGAUUACCACCUAAACUCUAUGUUAUAAACUUAAUGUACACAUUUGGAAGAGUUAUUAUCAUGACUUAAUUAAAUUUCCCUUUAUGUUACACCAAAUCAAUCAGUCUAUCUGAAAUCAAUUCGGUUGUUUUAGAUGGAAUAAAAAAAAAGAUGUCAAACUUUCUUCUUUUUAAAGUUAGGCUACCGUUAAAAUUUGUGAAUUCAGUUCUUUUGUACAUAAAAAACAUACCAGAAUCACAGUUAAGAAUGAGGUAGCCUUAAAGACAAAUUUUAGCUGCCACUUUACAUAUAAAUGAUAGGCCUUUACAUAUAUUAAACACAAUUUCAAAGAACAUUCAACCCUAUGGUAUUUAGGAAAGGUCUAUCUCAUUAACUAGAAGCUGAAUUACAAACUGAACAGUUAGAAUACCUUAUCAUACAAUAGGUCACUAAAAUCAAUUUCAGCUAAAACUCCUCCCAAUCUUGACUACUAAACUUAUCUACAUGUAUGUGUCUACUAGUAAAGCAUUGAUUAAGUACAGCAUCUAUUUUUCUCUGACAUCUACAUUUUUAUUGCGUGAUUUAGUAAUGAAGACAAUCUAUCCCAUUUACUGAGUGCAUAUUAAUAAAUAUUUGUUAUCUUCAAAUAGAUUAGUAACUAAAUUGUCUCCAAUCAAAAACAGGGAAAUCACUAAGCAUUAUUGAUGAACAAAGAAUUUACCGACACCUUAUCCAAUAAAUACAUAACAUUAAGAAUAUUAAAAGCCCAAUGAAUAUAUACAUAUUUUGUGUAUUCUAAUUAUUAUUUUCAUUCAAUGAUUUUCAUGCAUUUAUCUUGAAUAUGACCAAUCAUGUGUAUGACAAUAUGUUAUUUUCAGUUGCAAAUGAUUUUCAAUAUACAGAAAAUGAUUUUCAAUAUACAUUUGCAAUAGCCAUUUAAGAAGACAAAAAAAUACCCACCCAUUACUUUGAUACACGAAUAUUAUAUUUUCCCAUUAUGUCCAAAUUUCAUUAUUAUUGGCUUUCAUCAGAUAACUCAGAGAAAUAUCCUGCUUCAAUAGGAUGCCAAUCAGUAUCAUCUCACAAUGAAACAAGAUAUAUAUAGUCCAGUUUCUCAAUCAAAAGAUGCACACGGAAAACGAAAGAGAGAGUAAGAUUAAACAUGUCUGGAUUCCUCAAACACCAAUCAAAAAUAGUCCAGCAGUGAUUUUAUUUCUCUAUAUUACAUAUGAGCUGUCUGAUAAAACUUCUUUAUGCAAGUGUAUGAAUGCUUUAACAUGUAUAAACUGAUUAAUUUGGGAACAUACAAAUAAGAAAUAAAAGAUGAACUUUCUUCUUUGUUGUAGAUUUUCCUACAACAGUUACAUUUUUAAACAUUUACACACUGUCCACAUGUAUUUCAUCAACCAGAAAUAGGUCAACAGAUGUAUUGGUAUUCAUUUGUCCAUAUGGUCAAUUUUUAUCAGACACAGCUCAUAUCAUCAUGAUUGAAAGUGUAAUGCUCUAUGUGGUAAAACAUUCUGUAAUACCAGUGUUUUGGAUGAAAUCGAAUGAUGUUUACAAUGUUUUAUGGACAAAAAUGGUUUUCUUAUAGUUGCAGUGCUUAAUUGUGACCAAACAACGAAUCUUUACAUUAAAAACAGCCUUCUUUAACUUUUGGUGAAGCUAACUAAAUAUUAAGCGGUGAAUUUAUUUCUAUCUUUAUUCUUUGGUAUACCCCUAAUUCUAUUCCUUUCCUUAACACUAAACCUACCCCCAACAAAAACCUUACUAAUCCCAAAGUCUAACCUUAACCAAAACCCUAUAGUACUGUGUUGCCUAAAGUAAAAGAAGGCCAUUUAUACAUGUGUAUGGUGAGCAAUAUAAUCAAUAUAUUUGAGCAACUAAUCAUAUUUUAGGACAUUUCAUAAUUGAAAAAUAAAAUGUACAAUAUAUUUAUUAACAAUUACAAAGAUUUUUUUUAUUACAUGUAUUUUCAUUUGAUGGAAAAAUACAUAAAAUGGAACACUUAUACAAGCAUGAUUUACAAAAUGUAUACUAAAACAAUAGAUUGACAAUAUGUUGGUCACACUAAACAAUUUUCUCCUAUGCCACCUAAAAUAAGGAUGGUAUGCUGUUCAUACUUUUUUCUGUAUUAAGUUUUUUUAUACCGUUAAAUUUCAUUUUUAUUGAAUUAAAUUUUUUUUCCCCUAAUAUACCAAAUAAAUAAUAAAGGAGAAAGAUAAGGUGAUAUCCAAACACAACAAUUAAUGCUAGAACUCUAACAUUUACAAGUGAUGUCCUCAUUGUCAGGCAUCUAGAACUCUAACAUUGACAAGUGAUGUCCUCAUUGUCAGGCAUCUAGAACUCUAACAUUGACAAGUGAUGUCCUCAUUGUCAGGCACCUAGAACUCUAACAUUGACAAGUGAUGUCCUCAUUGUCAGGCAUCUAGAACUCUAACAUUGACAAGUGAUGUCCUCAUUGUCAGGCAUCUAGAACUCUAACAUUUACAAGUGAUGUCCUCAU